rnacentral:rRNA from 1 species
GGGAGGCAGCAGUAAGGAAUCUUGCGCAAUGGGCGAAAGCCUGACGCAGCGACGCCGCGUGCGGGAAGAAGGCCUUCGGGUUGUAAACCGCUUUCAGGAGGGACGAAGCCACUCGGGUUAAUAGCCCAGAGGGUGACGGUACCUCCAGAAGAAGCCCCGGCUAACUACGUGCCAGCAGCCGCGGUAAUACGUAGGGGGCCAGCGUUGUCCGGAUUCAUUGGGCGUAAAGCGCGUGUAGGCGGCCAGGUAGGUCUGGUGUGAAAACUGGAGGCUCAACCUCCAGCUGUCAUCGGAAACCAUCUGGCUAGAGUCCGGAAGAGGAGAGUGGAAUUCCUGGUGUAGCGGUGAAAUGCGCAGAUAUCAGGAAGAACACCCAUGGCGAAGGCAGCUCUCUGGGACGGUACUGACGCUGAGACGCGAAAGCGUGGGGAGCGAACAGGAUUAGAUACCCCGGUAGUCU